rnacentral:sRNA from 1 species
UUAUCAUUGCGGUUCGAUGAGAGAAUAAUAAAAUUUACAAUAUACAAAGAAAGGGCUAAUGAGCCGCACAGGUUGUUAGAACUAAAAACAUAUGAGUCCCACAUUACGAGGCUACGCGAAGAAAGCGGAGGAAGUUCGCACAGCUGAUGGAUAGACCAGGCAUCAUCGGUCGAGCAGCCGACGAUUGGCGACGGCGACGGCGACAGCAGUGGAGCCUCAGCAACCCUUAGACAGACCACCACCACCACCACCACCACCACGUGACAGGAUGCGGAUGCGUAACGCAGGCAAAGCCGAAGGGGAAGGAGCAACGAGGCGACGAGGUUUUCGAGGCCCCUCAGUCGUCUAGCAACCGCUGAGCAAGAAGGUCCAGUUGCGCGUGCUAUUCCGGUCGAUUCGAAUCGGCUUCGUCGACGUCGCAUCGUGUUGCGCGUGCUCUACGAGAGGAAGAAGGGUCCCCGAUCCCGCGAGUGUCUCCGAUUGUUUUGUCCUGUUGCCAGCUGCUCCCGGUAUCUGCCUGCUCCUGGCGCGCCGCGGAGGAUCGAUUCCUGAAGCGGCCUAGGGAGACUCUAAAAUGUUUGCCAACGUGGAGAGAAAGAGUUGACGAGGGCCUAUUCGUCGAAGGGGGACGCCUACUUGACCAGCGCUAAUCAGUAGGAAGGAAAAGAAAUACGGGCACGCGUGUUCUACCUAUAACAGUAUUAAGAAGAAAGAAGCACGAUGGAUCCUUAUUCAUUAAGAAAUGCAGCCGUCCGGAUGAUCCCGCGGAGGACCUUCCUUUCGAUCAACAGUAGCGAUUCGCGAUUCGCCGUGAGAUAACAAACGCGCGCCGGUGUAUCAAAGGCUACAGAGCAUAACACGUAAGACGAGGAGAGAGGUGCAAGGUGCCGAUAUGUCUGGCGAGUCGAACGAGAAAGGAAUGCUGUAAUAAGUCUCGCGAGUGGCUAUACAUCCCUCAACAGUACGCAAAGUACGUAGGUCAGCCUGUAGCAAUUAGGGCCCGGACUCGGACGACGAUGUGUACAGCGAGGUGAAAGACUCGUCCAGCGAAAUGUCAAAUGCCACUUGCCGCAAGCGCAUUCGCACUCGCUGCUAAUGACGAUGUUACGCGUCGCGGGAGCGGGAUAAAAAAUUUAGACGUUCGAGAGACGUAUAAGCUCGGCGAAUAAAAGAAUAAAAUGCACAUGUCUCCCUCGUGUCGGCAGCCGUGUCGUACACGGAGUCGGCGUGUCUUCAUAAAUAGAAUCGAUGUUUCAAGAGAACCUGCAAUUUACUUAAAGCCCACCACGUGCCUCGUGGAUUUUGCGAUAAAACCGCGGUAUUAUCGCCGCAUAUAUUGUCUUUAUGUUAGCUUAGAAUAACAAAGCAUACGCGACACACAAUGAAUACGGAAUGGAGUACACGACUCGUAAAUAACAAGUCCGGCCUGGCUGUCUCCUCUUUCGGGUUAUGCAAAGUAUCAGAAAAACCAGGAAAUCGUAUGAUAACGAGUUGCACUCGGUCUCGGAGCCUCCAACGAGCACUGUUUGUGGUCUCUCAAGUUUUUAAACUUCCGUCAAACUUAUCUCGCGAAUGUAAGUCUUGAUUUCAGAUUUUUCUUCCACCCUUCGAUAGCCGUGCGAUCGCGCGAGCCAUUUCCAGCUUUAAAUUCAGUUUGUCAAUUAAAUGUCGAAUCUUUCGAUCCCGAUUUAACUUGCUCUCUAUUUUUGUUUCUAAUUCUUAGAACUAGAAAAAGAUAAAGAGCAACCGAGAUCACAAUUAAUUUGCAUUGGUGGAAAUUGGCAUAAAAGAGAUAAAAGUGUUACAAAUAGAUCUGUUAAACUAUAAUCUGCCUUCCAGUUAGUUACGGUAAGAAACCACAGUCAACUAUUGUGUUCAAUAAUAUGCCAAUUAACGCGCGUUAAUUCGUCAAGUACAUAAUUGUAUCAUAUAUCAAAGAUCAAGAUCGUCGCUCUAUUUUUAACUCACAACGAGAACAAUCAUUCGUUCGUCAAAGAACAUCUCCAAACGCUUUGUCACGUCAUGUUGCUAAAAUCACGGCGAUGCCCGUGUGUGGAAAAUGAUUAUACUUGAAAAAACUUACAAUGUUUAUUCAAACAAUUAAUAUAAAUUAAAAAAAAUAUGUCAUUAAAAUCUGAUGAACAAUAUUCUGUAUAUUUGUAAAACAGCUGUUGUUUUUCAACGAAUUUGCCUCUCUAUCGAAACAAAAAGUUAUGAGAGAAGUUCAACACGAAGAAAAUAUUGGCGAUUAAAAAUAAUCAUCAUUCAUUGAAAGUAAUCAGUCAAUUAUUCUUGUUUUUUGCAGCUUUAUUUUUGACUUAUUUUUCUGAAAUUAAAACGAUAUUAAUUUAUCGUAGUCAAUUAGACCACCCCGACAAAUGAGCCAUAGUGCAACACACCCGAUAAUCGAUCCGCGUGAUCUCAUUGUUAUGCGAGACAAUCGGCUAAGAACUAUUGUUUUGAGACUGCUACGUUAAGCAGCGUAGCUUGUAUUUUUCUGUAUGGCAAAUCAAUUGAACAAGACUAUUCGAAUUGAUAUACGAACAUUUCAUAUCACAUUGUAACAAAAAAGGCUCGUAUUAUAGAUACAGUUAUAAGUCGAUAAUAAAAAUUAUUCAUUUAAUACAUAUUACUUUUUAUAUAUAUUUUACGUUAAUUUCCAUUUGAUAAUUUUUUGACAAUUUUUUUUUAUUAUGAGGAGGAUGUAGGAUUAUUAAUUUUAUCGUCAUAAUUAAACAAAUUUUAUUGUAUCCGAAUAUGAUAAUAAUGAUAUAAUAUUUGUAUUCGGAAAUGCAUCUAAGAACUUGAAAUGAUUAAAAAGGGCACCCUCAUCUUAAGCUCUUCGACCUAUAUUCCGGAAAAACCAGUUUUCGUAAUUCGUAUAAUAGGUGUCAGCCGUCGAUGCCCAGGGUCUAUGAGAGAAAACAAAAACCGAUAAGCACGUCUUUACUUCUUUACUAAUGUAAACGCCAUGUUGUUUUUGAAAAUUACGUGACUUUUUCGUGCGUCAAGCUGCGAGCGAAAAGACGCUAUAUAAAUAUGCUGGCUUGUUGUAACUUUGUAGCGAACUAGACAUUUUAUACUAAAUCUGGUUAGAAGCGAUUAGAAAAAAUAGCAAAUAGAAUAGGGAAUAAAAAAUAUUGAUUGAUCGCAAAAAAACAUGUUAACACAGUGCGCAUUAAUAAAACUCUACCGCAUUUUCUAUAUGACACGCACUAUUAAUUUUAAAAUAACUUUAAACAUAAUAUAGCAUUAUCGUGACAUUUUAAUCAAAUACUAGAAAUAUUGAAUCACGAUGAAACAUCAAGACAUUACGCUACUGCAAUAAAAAAUGUUCACAUAUCAUUUAUUGUAACGUUACAAUAAAUUUAACAAGGCGUAAUUACAUCGGUCAAAAUUCAAUUUCGAUGAUUAUGCGUUGCGAUAUCAAAUUGUUUUGACGUACAAAACUCGCGAAAGAAAAUAAAACACGCGGCAAGAAUCGGCGCGAUAAAUAUUUAUGGAGCCGAGAAGAUUUAAAUGAAAACAGGCAGAGAGAGAGAGAGAGAGAGAGAGAGAGAGAGAGAGAGAGA